rnacentral:rRNA from 1 species
AUUGAACGCUGGCGGCAGGCCUAACACAUGCAAGUCGAACGGUAACAGGAAGAAGCUUGCUUCUUUGCUGACGAGUGGCGGACGUGUGAGUAAUGUCUGGGAAACUGCCUGAUGGAGGGGGAUAACUACUGGAAACGGUAGCUAAUACCGCAUAACGUCGCAAGCCCAAAGAGGGGGACCUUCGGGCCUCUUGCCAUCGGAUUUGCCCAGAUGGGAUUAGCUAGUAGGUGGGGUAACGGCUCACCUAGGCGACGAUCCCUAGCUGGUCUGAGAGGAUGACCAGCCACACUGGAACUGAGACACGGUCCAGACUCCUACGGGAGGCAGCAGUGGGGAAUAUUGCACAAUGGGCGCAAGCCUGAUGCAGCCAUGCCGCGUGUAUGAAGAAGGCCUUCGGGUUGUAAAGUACUUUCAGCGGGGAGGAAGGGAGUAAAGUUAAUACCUGUGCUCAUUGACGUUACCCGCAGAAGAAGCACCGGCUAACUCCGUG